GGGGAUUUAGCUCAGUGGUAGAGCGCUUGCCUUGGAAGCCGAAGGCCCUGGGUUCGGUCCCCAGCUCUG
rnacentral:tRNA from 1 species